rnacentral:lncRNA from 1 species
CCUUGUCUUUCUACGUGUAUUUGCAGAAGGCUAGUUCCUCGUACAAGUAGAUGCAGACUAAGUCCAAUUCUUCUCUUUUUCUUUUUACAGAAGACAAUAUACAGCAGCUUCAUGACAUCCAUGAAAGUAUUCAACGUAUGCGUGAUGUUAGCGCUCUCAUGCUCAACCAACAGCAGCAAAAUUCCAGAUUAUUUGCAUCUUGUCCAUCACUUAACGACGGGCAAGAUUCCUCUGAUCCUGAUCUCCUAUCUAGGCUUCAGUCUCCUCCAAAUCAACCGUCACAACCAAAGCUUUCUCUCAAUGCCCCAGCCUACUCAGACUCACUACGGCAAAAAAGAGGUUCAGGGGAUUGGUUAAUGUGUGAAGUUCAACGGAGAAGUAGCUGGGCUGCCUUAGACGACCUUACAAAUUGUGAUAAGGGCAGGAAAGUAGAUAAACAUAGAAGUGUAAGUUCUAGUAGUUUAGAGUCAGAAUUGGACGACCCCAUAAUGGAUAGCACUGCAAAUUUACUGAGUACAGAUAGUGCCUCGCCAGUAAAAAUAAUUCAAAGGCGAAAAUCCAGCACUGGAGCCUCUGUUAAUGUCAGGCGCUCAGUUUGUCCAGGAGGCACCUCUUCAACCCAUUCCCUAAAUGAAGCAGACCUACAGAGUGAUUUCAACAAAAUAAUUGCCAAGCACAGAGCUGAAUCUAGGUUGCAAGCAAGGCUUCCUUUGCAGAAAUCAGUAUCCACCCCUUCAAUUUUAGCAGUUCGUGACAUAGCUCAAAUCCGGAAUGAAGUCGGAACCAACAAUGCCAACAUCAACAAUUUAACCAUUGGAGUUCCAACUGAGAGUGAAACGGAGGAAGAAAUGUUAGCAGCACUGAUUGAUCCAAGCAAGCAUCGCACCUCCUUCCAGCUUUUAUUUGCCGACACCGCUUAUGAUGAACAUUCAGAAAAACGUAGGAAAAGAGGAAGCUUGUUCUUCAGGAAGAAAAAGGACAAAUUAAAAAAAUCACCUCAUCAGUGGGUUUCAGUCUGUUAUGGUAGUUCAAAUCACAUUCAAAACUGUGACUGGUGUUCAAAACCUAUCACGAACAAAUCAGCUAUUUUUUGCGAAAAUUGUUUGGUUACUGUUCAUCAAAGUUCCUGCAAAGACCAUAUUGUAGAUUGCAAUAAACAGAAAUUAUCUAAGAGCAUAUCAAAGCCAUCAGCAGUCAGUUUAUCUUCAUUUAGUAAAAGCUCAGGGAAGACAAGAAGUGGAAGUCCAUCGCAUGGACAAUCAAGUUCACCUAGCAGUCAAAUUAUAGGUGACGAUAAAGAGUUUUUCUUUGGUCAUCAUCAGCUUGAUGGAUCCAGGUAAAGACAAAUUUCUACAGUAUUUCAAAUUUAAGUGCCUGACUCUUUGCAAAUUCACGAUGUUAUCAUAGUUAUGGGUUCUAUCUUUCUCACGUUAAUAGACCUGUUGAAAGCUCAUAUCAAUUAUUUUAUUCUAUAGUCAACUGCUGUUUAAUUAAACAACUCAAAAUAUUUAAGAUCUCAUCUAUGAGAGUUGUUCUGUGAGUUUGGAAGCAGACCUCAGACAAAGUAUUAAGAUGAGAGCCAAUACUCUGUGAUAAUACAUAGUUUAUAAAAUUGCUCCUAUUGGGUUAUAAUAAAUGCCCUAUGUGAGUAAAACAUUUAUAAAUUAUUUAUUAUCACAGCGUAUUGGCUCUCAUCCUAAUAUUUUCAAUAUAUAAUGCUGUUCAGCCCAACAUGUUUCAAUAUCAGACAAAGUGACUACAUAUUGCAUUUCUUGUGAAAUUCAAUAUUUUCUUGUAAAAUUCGUUCAGGUCAGAUUAUUUGAUGAAUUCACAAAUUCCU